rnacentral:rRNA from 1 species
ACGCUCGACACCUACGGAGGCAGCAGUGGGGAAUAUUGCACAAUGGGGGAAACCCUGAUGCAGCGACGCCGCGUGGAGGAAGAAGGUCUUCGGAUUGUAAACUCCUGUUGUUGGGGAAAAAGAGGAUGGUACCCAACAAGGAAGUGACGGCUAACUACGUGCCAGUAGCCGCGGUAAGUCUGAGCGGGCUGGCAAGGC